UCCCCGCUCCGCGAUUGGUGAGGACUAUUACUGGGCUUAAAGCGUCCGUAGCCGGCCCGGCGUGCUCCGCGUUAAAUCCAGCAGCCUAACUGCUGGGCUGCGCGGAUGACUGCCGGGCUUGGGGGUGGGAGAGGGCGGCGGUAUUCCCGGGGUAGGGGUAAAAUCCACUGAUCCCGGGAGGACCACCAGUGGCGAAGGCGGCCGCCCAGAACACGCCCGACGGUGAGGGACGAAAGCUGGGGGAGAGAUCGGG
rnacentral:rRNA from 1 species